rfam:Myotis lucifugus cont2.4754, whole genome shotgun sequence.
UGCCGAGUAGCUCAGUUGGUUAGAGCAUUGGCCCAAUACGCAGGGUUGUGGGUUCAAUCCCCAUCAGGGCAC